ensembl:snoRNA SNORA72 Small nucleolar RNA SNORA72
CUGCGAAUAUUCUCGCUGUUCUGAUAGUCGAGGCAGGCUAAACAUUUGCUAUAUUAAGACCAUGCAUGUGUCCCCAGAUCUACUUCUUUUCCUAAGUCUGGUUUUAUAAAUGCUGGUGAUAAAC